rnacentral:snRNA from 1 species
GUGCUCGCUUCGGCAGCAUAUAUACUAAAAUUGGAACGAUACAGAGAAGAUUAGCAUGGCCCCUGCUCAAGGAUGACACGCAAAUUCAUGAAGCAUUCCAUAUUUUA